UACGGGGGGGGCACGCGUUGUUCGGAAUUACUGGGCGUAAAGGGCUCGUAGGCGGUGCGGCAAGUUGGGAGUGAAAUCUCUGGGCUUAACCCAGAGGCUGCUUCCAAAACUGCCGUGCUAGAGUGCGAGAGAGGACAGUGGAAUUGCAGGUGUAGCGGUGAAAUGCGUAGAUAUCUGCAGGAACACCCGUGGCGAAGGCGGCUGGCUGGAUCGCAACUGACGCUGAGGAACGAAAGCUAGGGGAGCAAACAGG
rnacentral:rRNA from 1 species